AAUUACGAAAUGAUGAACAUUGAUUCCGAUUCAGUAAGCACUGAACCAAAUAUAAACAACGGAAUCGAAUUUCGAUUCCUUAUUGAGCCAAACAAAAAUGAAAAAUUGUCAUUCCAUUUCCAAUUCCAGCCCAUUCUGCCUCAUUCCGUUUCCGGACCCCCGAACUAAACGGUCCCUAAUUACUUCUGGGCGCAGAACCGAUCUAGGAGUCUUCAAAGCUACGGGCUUUUAGACCAACAUUAUUGCCAUGGACAGGCCCAAUGUUUACGGACAUCGGGCUUAUUGAUGGGCCCUGGCGUACAACAGAAGCAAAGGGCAUUUUGGUCAAAUCAAUGCAAUUCCUACGUAUCAGCUGGGGUUUGCUCGAGCCCUUCUUUCUUCUUCCUCUUCUUCAGUUCUGAAUAAGCACCUCCAAUCUACCCGUACAGGCGGCUCACGUCAAACCCUAAUUCGUUUGCUUCCUCGUCCAUACGUUCGCUGUUCGAGCGGAUUCGUGCAGUGAGUUCUCAUCUCUGGCAAUGGACUGCUUCAUCAGUUGCGAUGAAUCUUACCCACCCGAGAGUCUUUGAUUUGGGGAUGGCCUGUGAUUAUUAUUAUUAUUAUUAUUAUUAUUAUUAUUAUUAUUAUUUGCUUUCUGAUUUCUUCUUUUGCACAUGAUUUUCCUUUUCAAGUUCAAGACUUUUCAUUCAUGUCUUUCUCUGCAAAUGAUUUGAAUUUAUUAUUAUUUAAACGUGAUUCGGAGUCGGUGAUGACCGAUUAGCAAAUACCAUCAAACUCUGAAACCCUUUGAUGAUACUCAUAAUCAACUGUCUCUGAGCCAUCUUCGUCUGCUGAUUGCUAUUUCAAAAAAUCUUCAAUUUUUUCGGGUUUUUGCAAUCGGAAUUUGGGAAUGGGGACAUUGUUUGAUCAGAAAAGGCAACAAAUUAGAGUCACUGGUGCGCUCGAAUCGAUAGCGCAUUCAGCGCUGUACGUUGCCGAUAAAGACGGUAGCUGAGAUUCUUGCGUUUGCCUCUCUUUCACCGGAGGCUUACGCAUUCAGAUGCUUCCACAUCUUAAAACAAUGACAAUGUCUCAUUCUUUUUGCAAUCGUUUGAAUGAAUGAUAUAAAUUAAAAAAAAAAAUUCAUUUUUUAAUGUGAGUAAAAAUGUCGAUUGAACUGGUAAGUGGUGACCCCUUAAAGUAAGUAAAGUAAAUAUGCAGACGUGCACAGCCUCGAUCUUGGGCUAACCUGGUUGGUUAUAUACCGGAAGAAAGGCUGGAAAUGGACUCGUCAUACCGAAAGUUGGGCUGGAUAAGUAUCGAAAAUUUUGGGAUUGCUGCGGACAAUUUCAAAAUUAAGAUGAUAAGGUGCUUAGGGUCAUGAAUGCAAGCUGAAGAUGUAGGAAUUUGACAAAAUGGGGGUGUGUCUGAUGUGGAGGGAAUGAACCCUAUUUGAUAAGAAUAUGCUACUUUUCUAUGCUCAUAAUGUUCUCAUUUUUCUCAAUCGGUUGGUCGCGGUCUCCAUUGGCCAUUGCGCUUUGCACAUGGGUUUUGAAUAGUGAGGGGGCGAAUGCCUUAUUUAUUU